rnacentral:rRNA from 1 species
CAGCCGCCACGGUAAUACGAAGGGGGCUAGCGUUGCUCGGAAUGACUGGGCGUAAAGGGCGCGUAGGCGGUUUGCACGGUCGGGUGUGAAAUUCCUGGGCUUAACCUGGGGGCUGCAUUCGAGACGUGUAGGCUUGAGUGGGGAAGAGGGUCGUGGAAUUCCCAGUGUAGAGGUGAAAUUCGUAGAUAUUGGGAAGAACACCGGUGGCGAAGGCGGCGACCUGGUCCUUUACUGACGCUGAGGCGCGAAGGCGUGGGGAGCAAACAGGAUUAGAUACCCCCGUAGUCCCUGUCUCUUAUAC